rnacentral:lncRNA from 1 species
GUUGCGCAGGUUGCCCACCCGGAACAUAAGAGUGAGUUUUCCGUCCCUCAUGGAAAUAACCGCAUGCUCGCUAAACAUGAGGGUCUCGGCGCGCUUUUUGGGCUGGGACAUCUUGAUGAACAUGCAGCCGAUGAGGAAAGCGUCCACGAUGGAGCCAAGGAUGGACUGGAAGAGGAAGAGGAUGAUGCCCUCGGGGCACUUGUCUGUGAUGUAGCGGUAGCCAUAGCCGAUGGUGGCCUCGGUCUCAAUGAAGAAGAGGAAGGCAGAGGGGAAGUUAUAGACAUUGGCCACACACGGAGUGUAGUUGCCGACAUGGGCUUUGUUCAGGUCGCCCCGGGUAUAAGCGAUCACCCACCACAUGGACGCCAUGAAGAGCCAGGCCACGGUGUAGGUGAGGAUGAAGAUAAAGAGGUUCCAACGCCACUUGAGAUCCACCAGGGUAGUGAAGAGGUCCGAGAGGUAGCGACUGGUCUCGCUGCCCAGGUUACCAUGCUGCACAUUGCACCGGCCGUUCUUGUCCACGAACCGCUGCCGUUUCUUCUUGGGUACCAGCUGCUGCUGCGGGCCCUGUCCUGGCCCCUGAGGCUGCAAGCCCGAACCGCUCGACGAAGUGGUCACUACCUGGUAAUCGUCCCCAAAUUUCCUUCGGAGUGCAGACAUAAUAUGGAGGGGCGAGCCAGAUUCAAACACGAAGCGGAGGCGCAAGAGCCAAGCGCUGCAAACCGGCACCAAUAAGGAGGUGGGGGCAGGGGACGAAAGCAGGAGGGGAGGGGACGAAAGCAGGCGCCUGGGUUGGGGGUGGGGGUGGGGAGCACCCUGCAGGUAGCAGCAGUCUCUGCCCCGUCGGAUGCCUCUCCUCCCCUGGGACAGAGUCUUUCUUUCCAGGAGCAGGGCUAAAACAGAAGUGUUCUCCCACACUCAAGGCAAGGGGAAUGCAAGGGGCAAGAACCCAAGUGAAAUUUUGCUUCUGAGCUCUUUGAGGCUUCUCUUUUUCCCCCCACCAUCAGCAUCCCGGGCCACCGCUUACCUUUCCACAGCACCCCACCCUCGACUGUCCUGCAGCACCCCUGAACUGGUUGCUGAAAAUUAAUGAGUUUGACAAGCAAGUCCCACCCCACCUGCUAACUCCCCAAGCUUCUAAACUGCUCCACCUGCCUGGUCCAGACCCUCCCCCCUCCCAGCUGCACCCUGAUCACCCGCCCCCCCCGGGAGUGCUCCUAGGUCUCUUGUCACUCCCGCCUCCUAUCUUUUAGCCAAAAUCCCGCCCAGAGGCAUGUCUACUGGGCAGCGGUGCAACGCCCCCUACCCACGCUCAGCUGAUUCAGAAUCCCCCUCCCGGGACUCUAGAGACCUGUCCUCCUGCGGUGCGCGGGCGGCCGAGUUUUCACGCGCGCCACCUGGGCCUUCGGGUGGACUCUCGGGAGGGGGUGAGCGGACGUCAAGCUACCCCUGCGCUCCAAGGAGCUCUGGAAGCUCGGGCACUCACCCAGUGACAGAGGACAGGCGGAGGCUCUGCAAGCAGCACAGGCAGUCUGGCCAAGCACCCUGAGCUUCGGGUUGCCUGACCCCUUUCUACUUUUCUUGGUGUUCCAAGAUGAGAACCAAUGCAGGUGUGUCAGGCUCCGUGCCUCCCUGGGGACACUACGCUGCCUCCGCCAGAAACCCCUUAAGCUCCAAGCAGAGACUGACUCCGACGCCCGACUCCCGGGUUCCUUAGCGCGCGAUGCCCUCUUUCCAGGCGACAGUGCGACUGCUGAACCGAGGUCAGACUUUCAGGUUAAACACCGGUUUUACUCCAGCUUUUCCGUGCCUCUUAAUAGAAACAUUUGAGUCUUCCUUCCUUCGAUCUCCUAUUCCAUGUCCGCCCUUUGCUUGUCCCGGAUGGAUGGAGGAUGCAAGGCUCAAGUGGAGGCAACCAGAAUGAGGUGUGUGUGCUGGUGCGUGUGAUCAGCUGCAGAACCACACUAGCCCCGCCUGUCCUUGCCUUCCCCCGCUGCUCUACCAGCCUGAAUUGCACCUCCGCGCCUGGGUUGAGCCUGCAGUGUCUGGCAGCUUAGAGAAUGUGAGCCCCUCCAAUGAGAAGCAGCUUUAAAUCUGCUCCCAAAAGGCUGCCAACUCUUCCCCCCUCCCACCCCGCAUCAAUCAGAAAGCCCCCAGAAAGCAACAAAUGCUGCUUUCUGUGAGGAGUACAAUAUGUCUCUAUUUCUAGGGCUUUCUUUUAAGCGAAUAGAAUACUAGGAUUUGGGGAUGUAUCAUCAACAGAGAUUCAGCUUUCAGAUAGGCAUAUUCAGAACCAAAAAUUCCAAAACCAGAGGGACCUGACAACCAAGAAAGGCCACACUGAACGGAAACUCCAAACACUUUCUGAAAAUGAUUGUAUGAGGAAGACUUAGAAUAUUUACAGUUAGUGUGCGGUAAUAAUUGAGGGAAAAGUGCCACAUUUUAAUGGCCCCAGCCUGGCAGUUAACUUAAUGGAGGGGGCAAAGUGCAGAAAGAGCUGAUAUAGAGCCCUUGAGUAAAUGCCAGCUUAUUUACCACAUCUCAUGCUCGUUUUAAAAUGUCAUGGAGUCUUAUGCCAUAUUCCAUUCUGUUCUGAUACGCAAAGUUGGUAGAAAGUUCAUCAACUCUUGCUAUAAAAGCGAAGGUUGACGGUAAGAAUGGGAAACCCAAAAAGCACACAAUUACUAGACCAUUUCUCCCAGGUAGACACUCACUGCUCCUCUGCUGUAAGACAAACCAUGGACUCACAAGCAGAGGACUUGUAAAACAUUUAGCUCCAGUUACAGCUUCUCCUAUGGGAUCUCUGCAAAGAGGACAGCAAUGUAUUCUCUCGAGGUUAAACAAAGCAGGGACACUCCAGUCCUAGAAUCCUAAGGCCUUAUUUGAAUAUAGCUCUAUCUUUACAAGCUGGGUGACCUUGAGCAAGAGAAAAAUCAUGAAGCCUGAAUUUCCCCCUUCAAAAAAAAAUAAGUAAAUGAAAAUCAGAGUUUUAUAUUUUCCCAGUGAUGAUAGAAAAACAAAGGAAUAAAAGAAAAGUAAUGCUAUUUUUAUUAUUUAUUUUAUUAUUUUAUCAUUUCUCCUUCGAAGGAUAUACUUGGCUGCCAAGUGUUAGCAGAGCCAAGAGGAGACCAUGGAUGAGUUCUUUAAGUUGCUGCCAUGCUGUGAACUAACACAUCUCUUUAUCUUAUUUCUGUUUCUCCUCCACUGUCCACUCUGCCCUGGGCGGAUUCUUGUUUCGGUUACUAAAACACUUGAAGACAUAAGCUGAUCCCUGGUCUUGUCCUUGCUAUGGGUCUUACUGGCUCCCCGUUUAAGUGUGUUCUCUAUAGCGAAGCCUUUCUUAGUAGCUCAGGCCCUCUUUGUCUCAUCAGUCAGGUUCCUCCUGAGGAAGUUUUCUCCAUGCUGUUUUCCUUCUGUCAAUGUUCUUCUCCCUCUGUUGGCAAUCUGAUAAAACAGGCGCCACAAAGGGUGAAAGUCCUGUCUUUUUGCCUUUCUUUGUCUCUCACUCCUAGAAUUGUACUUGUCUCAUGCUUGGCAAACGGUAUUUCUUGGAUUAUUACAUAUGGCAGUCUAAAUCAUUAGCAGCUCCCCACCAAUUCACUAAAACUAUACUCAGAAUGUAACCUGCACUAAAACUGGCCUCCCUUACUUGAAAGGAUACGAAAGAACAUUAAUGCUUAAAAGAGAAUAUUUCUCGUUACAUUAAGAAUUUAUGUUCUAUCAGACUUUUGGAUCUUUACUCAGUAUGUUUGAAAUGAUACCUGCACUUUGUUUAAAAGGACAUCACUAACCUUUCUUUAGGACCCUAGUCAGCCAAACAUGGAGGAGUAUGAUUUUAAUUCCAUCACCUAGUAGACAGAGGCAAUCAGAUCUCUGUGAGUUUGAGGCAAGCUCCAGGCCAUCCAUGAAUAUGUAGUGAGGAUCUUACAGAAUCAUGAUGGUUUAAUAACAAAAAAACAAAGUAUUUUAGUAUCUUCCUGCCACCAUUCCUCAGUGAGUACUAAACUCAAAUUGAUUUAAUUGUAUUGUUUCAGAAUGAUUGACUUUAAUUUUCUAUUUGAGUUACUGUUUUGAAUUUCAUUUUGACAAUCAUAUGAAUUUUUGCCUGGUAAUAAAGCAGAGUUUCCAACCAUUUCUGAAAUAGCAUGAAGCAUUUUUACUUCUGCCAUUUGUACUGCAUGUAGUACAGGCAAAGUGUCAUUCUAGCACUAACAAUUAUUAAGUCAAAAUAUCGAUCAACUGAAAAAUCUUGAAUUUGCUUCACAUGCUGUGAUGUUGAAUAGUCAUCCAUGAUAUACUUCUUUUCCUAAAAAUAAACUA